CUCGAACGCGGCGGCGGGCUCCUGCACGUCACGUAUAAGGGAGACGGUGAGGGUGCCCGUCCUGGCGGAGGACGCGUUCGCGCUGACGGAGGCCCCCGAGAUGGUCCGGAAGGUGGUCUCGCCGAAGCUCCUGCAGGGCCGCUGCAGGCCGGCGGCUGCGGCGGCGGCCAGGUCGUCGGCGGGCUCCUGGCGGAAGGACCCGCUGCGGGUCUCCGAGUCCAUGACGCUGGAGUCGAGCGUGUAGCGCUCGGAGUUGGAGGGCGUGAUCGCGGGCGAGUCGGCGACGGCGCCCGGGCGGACGUAGCAGAAGGAGUGGCCGAGCCCUUCGUCGAGCGGCUCGAGGAAGUCGAGGUCGAUGCCGCCGGCCUUGUCGGGCGGCGCGAAGCAGCCGACGACCCGGGACGUGCUGUUGCCCAUGGCGGGCGGCUGGCGGCUAGUAGCGCCGCGCGCGCGUCAGCGUCAGCACCUCGCGGGGAGAGCGCGCCCCAAUGCCCGUCGCCGAGGGCCCCGGGCGGCCGGCAGCAUGAGCAGGCGGAGGCUGGCGCACGGCGAGAAGCUAUCCCCGACCUGGUGCCCCACUCCCCGGGCCAGCCGCCCUCGCAUCUUAGGCCGCCGCCCACCGCCUGGUCGAGGAAAUGCCCCGGCAGCGCAACCCCAUGCCAGAACCCGCCGCCGCCGCCGCACCACCACCAACUCGCAGGAAGCAGGAACCGAUCAGGCAGGCACGCAACAGCGCCUCCCGCCUCCGCACAAGACCUCCCGUCGGAUCAGGAAUCCGGCCGGCGGCGAGCGAGCGACAGGAAUGGGGGAUCUACACCUGGCAGGGGCGAGCGCGGAAGGGGCAGGCCUCGCUCCAGGUCUUCGAGGGGGGUUUUGGUGCGAUUUGAAACGGGUUGGGUGGGGGAUGGGAGGAACGGAAAGGAUGAGGAGGGAGCUGGGAAUGGAAUCGUUGGAAGCUGCGUAAGCGACCGAGGGAGGAAGUGGAGUGGAGCGCCGAGUGCAGUGGAGUGGAGGAGACGAGACUCGAGAGGGGGAGUUGGUGCUUUCGGCUUUCCUCCUCCUCCGUCUGUCCGGCACGCAGCACGCCAGUCGCUGGUCGGCAGGGAGGCUUGCCUGCUUGGUCGCCUUCGCUUUGCACGCUGGUCCCUCGCCGCCUCGCCUGUUUUGGUUCUUGCCUACCUUGCUUGUUCUCGUUUGUUUCGUCUCCCUCUCUCCUCGCCACUUUUGGAUGUACCCCCCUCUGUUUUCUUCGUUUUUUUUCUUUUCUUAAAACUAGGCAGAUCUCUAUAAAAUUCAUGUAUUUUUCUAUAUAGCUCCUGCACAUCAGUUAUGUAAUCGAAUGGUG
rnacentral:misc_RNA from 1 species